rnacentral:rRNA from 1 species
CUAUGGUUUAUUGGAUCGUACCCGUUAAAUGGAUAACUGUAAUAACUCUAGAGCUAAUACAUGCCUUGAUGCCCUGACCCCUUGUGGGAAUGGGUGCACUUAUUAGAUCAGAAGCCAACCGUGUGCGCCGCAAGGUGUGCAUGUUGUCCUUCUGGUGACUCUGGAUAAUUGUUACAGAUCGCAGUCGGCCUUGAGUCGGCGACGGGUCCUUCAAAUGUCUGCCCUAUCAACUGUCGAUGGUAGGUGACCUGCCUACCAUGGUGAUAACGGGUAACGGGGAAUCAGGGUUCGAUUCCGGAGAGGGAGCCUGAGAAACGGCUACCACUUCCAAGGGAGGCAGCAGGCGCGCAAAUUACCCACUCCCAGUACGGGGAGGUGGUGACGAAAAAUACCGAUGCGGGACUCUUUUAAAAGGCUCCGUAAUCGGAAUGAGUGAACUCUAAAUCCUUUCACGAGGAUCAAUUGGAGGGCAAGUCUGGUGCCAGCAGCCGCGGUAACUCCAGCUCCAAUAGCGUAUAUUAAAGUUGCUGCAGUUAAAAAGCUCGUAGUUGGAUCUCGGUACUACUGGAGCCUGCCUGGAAGACCUGCGCUAAGGUGGCUUCUGCUUGCCUAUGCAAAGGGAAGAAGGGUAGGGCCUCUGGUGUCACCUUUCAGCCAUGUCUGUGGUGAAAUACCCGCAGGUGUAGGCGAGUGUCAGGCGGUGCUUUGCGACAGUAAGGCCCGUCGGCUCGUUUGCAUGCCUUUGGAUGCCCUUCAAAAGGUGUCUGUAGGCGGAUGGCACGUUUACUUUGAACAAAUUUGAGUGCUCAAACCAGGCCGAUGUUGCCUGAAAAGUUUUGCAUGGAAUAAUGGAAUAGGACUUCGGUUCUAUUUCGUUGGUUUUCGGAUCCGAAGUAAUGAUCAAAAGAGACAGGCGGGGACGUUUGUAUGGCUGCGCUAGAGGUGAAAUUCAUGGACCGUAGCCAGACAAACUAAAGCGAAAGCAUUCGUCAAGCAUGUUUUCAUUGGCCAUGAGCGAAAGUCAGAGGCUCGAAGACGAUCAGAUACCGUCCUAGUUCUGACCAUAAACGAUGCCAACUGACGAUCCGUGGUGGUAGUAAUUCGACCUUCCCCACGGGCAGUCCCCGGGAAACCAUUAAGUCUUUGGGUUCCGGGGGAAGUAUGGUUGCAAAGCUGAAACUUAAAGGAAUUGACGGAAGGGCACCACCAGGAGUGGAGCCUGCGGCUUAAUUUGACUCAACACGGGAAAACUCACCCGGCCCGGACACUGUGAGGAUUGACAGAUUGAUAGCUCUUUCUUGAUUCAGUGGUUGGUGGUGCAUGGCCGUUCUUAGUUGGUGGAGCGAUUUGUCUGGUUAAUUCCGAUAACGAACGAGACUCCAGCCUGCUAAUUAGUGUAUCCGUCCACUGUUCCUGUGUAGGCGGCGUCCGACAAGGCUGCUGCGUUGGUUGAUGUGGGGCGCAAGCUUCACUGACUGCCUCGAAGCGGCUGGCUUGGCGUUAGCUUCCGGGUACGGCGCGGGUGCUUACUUCUUAGAGGGACAAGCGGGAAAAAGCCGCACGAAAUUGAGCAAUAACAGGUCUGUGAUGCCCUUAGAUGUCCGGGGCCGCACGCGCGCUACAAUGACGGUGCCAACGAGUCUGACCUUCUGGCCCGAAAGGGUUGGGCAAACUGGUCAAUCACCGUCAUGACAGGGAUCGGGGCUUGGAAUUGUUCCCCGUGAACGAGGAAUUCCUAGUAAGUGCAAGUCAUAAGCUUGCGCUGAUUACGUCCCUGCCCUUUGUACACACCGCCCGUCGCUACUACCGAUUGAAUGGUUUAGUAAGGUCCUUGGAUUGGCGCCAUUGUGGUGAUUGCCGAAAGGUGGUCAUCCGACGUGUGCUGAGAAGACGACCAAACUUGAUCAUUUAGA